rnacentral:rRNA from 1 species
GGGCCCGCACAAGCGGUGGAGUAUGUGGUUUAAUUCGAUGAUACGCGAGGAACCUUACCAGGGCUUAAAUGUAGUCUGACAGGGGUGGAAACACCCCCUUCUUCGGACAGACUGCAAGGUGCUGCAUGGUUGUCGUCAGCUCGUGCCGUGAGGUGUCAGGUUAAGUCCUAUAACGAGCGCAACCCCUGUCGUUAGUUGCCAGCAUGUAAAGAUGGGAACUCUAACGAGACUGCCGGUGCAAACCGCGAGGAAGGUGGGGAUGACGUCAAAUCAUCACGGCCCUUACGUCCUGGGCCACACACGUGCUACAAUGGCAGGUACAAUGGGCAGCCACGCCGCAAGGCGGAGCGAAUCCACAAAACCUGUCUCAGUUCGGAUCGGGGUCUGCAACUCGACCCCGUGAAGCUGGAAUCGCUAGUAAUCG